CCUACGGUGGCAGCAGUGAGGAAUAUUGGUUCAUGGGCGCGAGCCUGAACCAGCCAAGUCGCGUGAGGGAGGACGGCCCUACGGGUUGUAAACCUCCUUUUCCGGGGAGCAACGGGCGUCACGUUUGGCGCCACUGAGAGUACCCGGAGAAAAAGCAUCGGCUAACUCCGUGCCAGCAGCCGCGGUAAUACGGAGGAUGCGAGCGUUAUCCGGAUUUAUUGGGUUUAAAGGGAGCGUAGAUGGGAGUGUAAGUCUGGUGUGAAAGGCGGGGGCUCAACCCCCGGACUGCAGUGGAAACUGUACGGCUGGAGUGCAGGAGAGGUAGGUGGAAUUCGUGGUGUAGCGGUGAAAUGCGUAGAUAUUAGGAGGAACACCAGUGGCGAAGGCAGCUUACUGGACUGUAACUGACGUUGAGGCUCGAAAGCGUGGGGAGCAAACAGGAUUAGAUACCCUUGUAGUC
rnacentral:rRNA from 1 species